rnacentral:rRNA from 1 species
UGGGGAAUAUUGCACAAUGGGCGCAAGCCUGAUGCAGCCAUGCCGCGUGUAUGAAGAAGGCCUUCGGGUUGUAAAGUACUUUCAGCGGGGAGGAAGGGAGUAAAGUUAAUACCUUUACUCAUUGACGUUACCCGCAGAAGAAGCACCGGCUAACUCCGUGCCAGCAGCCGCGGUAAUACGGAGGGUGCAAGCGUUAAUCGGAAUUACUGGGCGUAAAGCGCACGCAGGCGGUUUGUUAAGUCAGAUGUGAAAUCCCCGGGCUCAACCUGGGAACUGCAUCUGAUACUGGCAAGCUAGAGUCUCGUAGAGGGGGGUAGAAUUCCAGGUGUAGCGGUGAAAUGCGUAGAGAUCGGGAGGAAUACCAGUGGCGAAGGCGGCCCCCUGGACGAAGACUGACGCUCAGGUGCGAAAGCGUGGGGAGCAAACAGG